GAGGAGGAGAUGCCGCCGCCGCCGCUGCCGCCGCUACUCCUGCAGCUACCGCCUCCUCCUGCCGCCUCCGCCCGCCGCCGGCUCCGGGCGGUGCGAGGCUCCGGGCCACAGCUCAGCUGCCCCCCGCCCGCCGGCCCGCCGCACGCGGCCUGGGGCCUGCUUCCCUGAGCGCUCGCCGCCGCCGCCGCCGCGACUUGAGCUUUUCUAUCACCCCCCCCCCCCCUCUCUUUUCUUUUUUUUUUUUUUUUUUUUCCUCCUUUACUGGAGCUGCGCGCGCGCGGUGGCGGCGACGGCGCGAUCCCGGGGCGGGCGGGCGCGCGCGCGGGAGAGGGCAGGCCCUGGGGAACGCGCGCGCUGUCUGUCUUUGGUGGCGGCCGGGCGCGUACACACACACAGGCCCGGGGACUCUACACAGGACCACCACCGGUUGGAACGCAGGCCCGGCUGGAACGCCCGGCAACACGGAUGCGGGGGCUCAGAUCGCCGGGGUACAGGGUUUGAAGACUUAAAGUAGGUCGUAUAGGAGUCGGGAGGAAGGGGAGCCGGGUUGCGCGCUCCCGAGGGCGCAUGCGCACGUCGGGGCGGGGCAGGGCGGAGGCGGCAAGGGGCACGUACUCUAGGCGGCUGGCUACUGAGAAGGCUAAAGGCCUGUCUGGCCCCUUCUUUUGCUGGUCCCCCUCCUCCCAACUCAGCAAACCAAGAGGCUUAGAUCUUGUGAUCAGACAUUUUAUUAGGCUUGGUGAAGAGUUUCAUCAAUAUUCCAAUUUAAAAAAAAAGUAUAAAAGCUACAUAAC
rnacentral:lncRNA from 1 species